CACAGCCUAACCCAUGCUAGGGAACCCCAGCCCGGGUUAGGCAGCAUGUGAGAUGUGGAUGGGCAGCACCUCAUAGCCCAGCUUUAUAGCAAAGUGGUUAGCCAAGGUUAAAGGAGUGAACGCUCCCUUAACCUGAGCUUGCUGUUCAUGUGUGAGCAUGUGCUGCUUCCAGCCCAGCCUCACAAAGAGAUGGGCGCCUUGAGCACCCAUCCCCUGGGGGAAUCCCUCAAUGCAUCAUGCAUGUCAUGUGGUGCAUUGAGGGAUUUGCAGAGGCCAGGAAAUGUCAUUCCAGCUUCCAGAGCUGCUUGUCUGGGAGCGCGCUCCACACUCCCAGAAACAUUUCUGCAGUCAUCUGGUCGUGUAAACGACCUCCAUCAUUCUGGCUCUGUGGACAAUAUAAAGUUUCUUAAGAGACCAUUUCUUUAUCCUGACACCAAUACUGAAAAGUUUGUAGAGGAAGUUCUUAAGUUCUUAAAGGAAAAUCUUUUAGUUGUUUUUUUGGGGGAAAGACCAUGCAAAUCCACUCUUCGAGUAAUGGUUUACAUAGAUCUGAUUUACAGGCUUUUGAAAUCAAUAGGAAGUACCUGAUGCCUUUCUCUAAAGCACAUUUGUGGACCUACAGACUUUUCAAGUGCUUUAAAUAAGGAUUUAUAUCAUUCAUAUUUUUGCUAUAAUUUCCAUUCUAUGUUUCUAGUUGUAAAUGAAAAAGAAGAAUUUUGUUCAAAUGGGGAUUGAAGACACUCAAGGCAAUGUUGCCAACUGAAUUUAAAAUUUACGCCAUUUAUUUUACAUUCUGCUGGGGUUGCAUCCUAUUUACAACCAAGCCACUUCUGUGAUAAUAACUCUUUCGUAGUUGUUUAAAUAAGAAAAGGCCUUUGAACUGAACUCAUUAUUUUGCCUGGCAUGCCUUAUUCAUGUUAUACUUUCACUGAGGAUUAACUAUUGUAUGUGUUAGCUUACUGAUAUCCCUUCAUAAAUCUGCUUUCUACUUCCUAUUCAAGAACUCUGUUUCUCAAAUACAGAAGAGAAUUAAGAAUUAGUUCUCUGCAGGCAUUCUUCUUCGGAAAGCAGAAAUCGUGAUCACACCAGCUGACCUCUUUGACCUGCCCGACAUCCACACAUUGGCUGUGUACUGUAUAGGAGUUUAUAUUGAAGGGUGACCCUUACAUCCUAUAAAUAAAUGAAUAAGAGCGCUUGUGGGCUGAUUGGAAGUCGACCGAUAUUUAUUAUAUUCUAGGAGCAGCUUCUUUUUAAGAUUUUGGCACUCUUCAUCAAACCAGGGUUUGUGUAUGAGAGGUUCAAUAAAGUAUCAGAAUUUAAAGAUUCUGUAACCCGUUCCCUCACUGCUGGAGACCACCUCACUCUGGUAGGGAGUACGUCUAAGGAUUCGUUGUUAAACUCAGUGGAAGGGUAUCUUUGGAUCUCUGACUGGGGCCUCAGGGUUAAUUCAAGAGGUAAAUGAUCACUAACUGGUCUAGAUGCUACUAUAAAAGUUUCAAUCAAACUUACAAGUUCAACACUGAGCCACAAAUAAUCAAUAGUUGAAGCCCCCGCAGCUGACCAGAAAGUAUACUCCGCUGGAUAAUCACCCCUAAUCGCACCAUUUACGAUAUAGAAAUUGUGUGCAUACAUUGUCUGUAGCAUUUUCAAACCAGCAUAGGAGGACACCCCAUCCUUAAAGGAACGCUUCAUAAAUCCUUCAGGGGGAUCUAUUAAAGCGAACCGACUCUACCUUGAGCUGGUUUGCACAUUCCUGGUAUGUUAGUAUCUGGUCUCUGAAUGCUUAGAAUGAGCCUGUUUAGUUCAUCAAAUAAGUCUGCCAAGUAUGCUAGCUUGGGAUUCAAUGGCGGGGGGGGGGGGUGUCUUUGAAAUAAUCAGAAAGUGAAGCAUUUGUCUCCCAUAAAAACUGAGCUAACUCUUCUUGCAGACCAAAUUCUCUUCUCAAUGAAAAUCCACAAGAUAGCCAGCGAACUUCAGAAUGCAGAAGGCAGCUUUGGUGCUCAGCAGCCAUUUCACUGCACAGAGCAGCAAAAAUGUGUGAGUUAAGAAGUCUUGUUUUAAUAAAAUUCACAAUUCUCACAACAAAGACUAAAACAUCAUUCAGUUCAGGGCUCAGUUUCUUUGACACAAGUUCUUCUCUUUAUAAGAUGCAGUGAGUAAGAACCACUUUAGGGACUACGCUGUUGAAUUCCUGCUAUCAGACAAUUUUUGCUGCCAGUCAUAGCCUUUGCCCCAUUGGUGCAAAUAUUGACACAGUUGCACCAUGAAAGACCUUUUGUGGCUAUGUAUUGAUUAAGGGCUCUAAAAAUAUCCUCUUCUGUUGCUCAUAUUGGCAAAUCAAGGCAACAACAAAAAAGUCUUCAAUAAACUUCCCUUGGAAAACAUCGUGAACAAAUACCAACAGCUGAGCCUGAUUUCCUACAUCUGUAGUUUCAUCCACCUACAGAGCAUAAGCAGAGACUCUUUUCAAUCUCUCCAGUGGUUGCAUCUCCACAUCCUGUGCCAUUUCAUGAAUUAUUUGAGAAACAGUAUUUUUUGAGAGUGGUACCAGAAGGAUAUUAUUAAUGAUUAUUCAUCGAGGAAUCAGAUAUUAAGGUAGUCAAAUUAUGGCCAUAGAGACCAUAUAUAGACAUAUAGCGCUCCCUGGUUUAUAGACAUAAAUGGGACUCCUGCUAACUGGGUAGAGGCAAUUUUCAAAGUGGUGAAUGAAUGGGUACAGAACCACAGUCCACAGCAAACUAGGACAAAAUGUCAAAGGGACAAGGAAAAAGCAGGGAUUGAACACAAUGAGUAUCUAUGAAUUAGCUUAGUAGGACAUCAGCUCUUCAUUACAUGCCUUCCUAACUUUCCCUGUGUACUCUUUGCCAUAUAGUUGCUUUCAAGCAUCCACUAGAAGAGGCAACCCAAGAGAUUCUGCAAUGAUAUGUACUUCCUUGCAAUUUGCAGUUCUGAGUGCUACUAGAUAUGAGGCCCAGAGUGCUUUCACUGACUAACAGUAUUAGCAAGCACCUCCUUCUGAGGUUUGAAACUGUCAAGUUGUCAUUCAAUACAGGCCAUUGGUUUUCUGGCCGGGCUACUAUGCUUUGUUUCAAAGUGUCUGUUUAAUAAAGAUGGCUUGAUAGUGUG